GACGAACGCUGGCGGCGUGCUUAACACAUGCAAGUCGAACGGAAAGGCCUGCUUUCCCUUGUGGAUUGCGGGUACUCGAGUGGCGAACGGGUGAGUAACACGUGAGUGAUCUGCCCCCAACUUGGGUAUAAGCCUGGGAAACUGGGUCUAAUUCCCGAUAGGACUGCAGGGUGGUGCCUGUGGUGGAAAACGAUUUUCUAGUGGUUGGGGAUGAGCUCGCGGCCUAUCAGCUUGUUGGUGGGGUAAUGGCCUACCAAGGCGGCGACGGGUAGCCGGCCUGGGAGGGUGGACGGCCACAUUGGGACUGGGAUACGGCCCAGACUCCUACGGGAGGCAGCAGUGGGGAAUAUUGGACAAGGGGCGGAAGCCUGAUGCAGCGACGCCGCGUGGGGGAUGACGGCCUUCGGGUUGUAAACUCCUUUCGGCCGCGAGGAAGCCACCUGGUUGGAAGGGUGGUGACGGUAGUGGUAGAAGAAGCACCGGCUAACUACGUG
rnacentral:rRNA from 1 species